rnacentral:misc_RNA from 1 species
AAGGAUCAUUACAAAUCUUUUGCGAGUGCUGCGUGCGUAACUGCGCGUAGUAUUUCACAACAUUAGCACAAGGUCGCAAGGCCUUGAUGUUUACGCUUGUUUGUUUGACAGAGUUAGUUGAGACAAAAAAAGACAACUUUUAACAAUGGAUCUCUUGGCUCUU